CAGUAGCCGCGGUAAUACGAAGGGUGCAAGCGUUACUCGGAAUUACUGGGCGUAAAGCGUGUGUAGGUGGUUGUUUAAGUCUGUCGUGAAAGCCCUGGGCUCAACCUGGGAAUUGCGAUGGAUACUGGGCGACUAGAGUGCGGUAGAGGAUAGUGGAAUUUCCGGUGUAGCAGUGAAAUGCGUAGAGAUCGGAAGGAACAUCUGUGGCGAAGGCGACUAUCUGGGCCAACACUGACACUGAGACACGAAAGCGUGGGGAGCAAACAGGAUUAGAUACCCGCGUAGUCCCUGUCUCUUAUAC
rnacentral:rRNA from 1 species